AAGCCGAAAGAAGAGUGAGACUGA
rnacentral:siRNA from 1 species